CCAAUAACGUAUAUUAAAGUUGUUGCAGUUAAAAAGCUCGUAGUUGAACUUCGGGGUUGACCCAUUGGUCAGGCUUAAUUGUCUGCACUGGUGAGAUGAGUCUCUACCUUCUGAGGAACUUUCAUGCCAUUUAUUUGGUGUGGUUGGAAAUCAGGACUGUUACUUUGAAAAAAUUAGAGUGUUUAAAGCAGGCUAACGUCUGAAUACAUUAGCAUGGAAUAAUGAAAUAGGACGGACUGAUUCUAUUUCGUUGGUUUCUAGGAUCACCGUAAUGAUUAAUAGGGAUAGUUGGGGGCAUUAGUAUUCAAUUGUCAGAGGUGAAAUUCUUGGAUUUAUUGAAGACUAACUACUGCGAAAGCAUUUGCCAAGGAUGUUUUCAUUAAUCAAGAACGAAAGUUAGGGGAUCGAAGACGAUCAGAUACCGUCGUAGUCUUAACCAUAAACUAUGCCGACUAGGGAUCGGACGAAGUUAAUUUUAUAAUGACGCGUUCGGCACCUUACG
rnacentral:rRNA from 1 species